ACCUUCCUCCAGCAUACUCUAAAAUUAAAUAAAUAUAAAUUCCAGUUUCAAUUCACCGUCUAACCGGGAAAAAACAACUCCGUUACCGGAAAAUAUUUUUAUUUAAUUAAUCAAUCUAGGGUUUCGGAGAAAAUUGCAGUGAAGCAAUGGCGAAAGGGAGGUUAAAUCGGCAUCAAGGAAAGAGAUCAUCAACAGUGGUUUUAGUACUUUCAAUGCUUUUAAUGCUAACAGUUGUUCUUCUAAUGCUUCUCGCUUUAGGCAUUUUUAAUCUUCCUGUUGGUUCCGAUGAUGAAACGUCCUCUACUCACGAUCGCAUCAAGUUCAAACGCUUCAAUUUAGAUAUAGGCGAAGGCGAUGGACUAGGGAAAAGAGGGGAACAGUGGACCGAGAUCUUGUCUUGGGAGCCUCGUGCCUUUCUUUACCACAAUUUCUUGUCCAAGGAAGAAUGUGAAUACUUGAUAAAUCAAGCUAAACCUCACAUGGCAAAGUCAACAGUUGUUGAUAGCAAAACCGGUCAGAGUAAAGAUAGCAGGGUUCGUACAAGUUCGGGAAUGUUUUUGAGGAGGGGACGAGAUAAAAUUAUCAGAAAUAUUGAGAAGAGGAUAGCAGAUUUUUCAUUCAUUCCUGUAGAACACGGAGAAGGUCUACAAGUUUUACAUUACGAAGCUGGACAAAAAUAUGAGCCUCAUUUUGACUACUUUCUUGAUGAAUUCAACACCCAAAAUGGGGGCCAACGCAUAGCUACUGUUCUCAUGUAUCUAUCAGAUGUUGAAGAAGGGGGUGAAACUGUUUUUCCAGCAGCAAAGGGAAACUUCAGUUCCCGUCCGGGGUGGAACGAGUUGUCAGAAUGUGCUAAAAAGGGCCUCUCUGUCAAACCAAAGAUGGGCGAUGCUUUGCUUUUCUGGAGCAUGCGGCCUGAUGCUUCUUUGGAUCCGUCAAGUUUGCAUGGUGGUUGCCCUGUGAUUAAAGGGAACAAAUGGUCGUCUACCAAGUGGAUGCAUGUUGGUGAAUACAAGAAUUAAUUCUCUUUCAAAAAGUGUCUCAAACUCUCAAAGUGCUAUUCAUAAGUAGUAUCUGGAGUAAAAACAUGGCUGAAGACCUUCAUCUAGUUUCGGUGCAGUGAGAUGACUACCAUCAUUCAGAAAAACCAACUCCAUCUCGCUCUCUCUCAAAUUGAAUGCAAUUCAUUUCUUCGACUCUGGUAGCCAGAAAGGAGGAGAAAGCUUUCAUCUUGGGAUUCAACGAAUAAAUGUAAUGAUUUUAUAUAAAUCUUCGCUGUGUGAGGGCCUUCCCGAUUUGGAUUAUAGUGGUGCUAACCCUUAAUUCUCCUCAACUUGGAAGCUCUUUGUUAUAUCACUUUACAACAACUGAAGUGGCUGUUUAUAGUAAAAGAUUUGAUUAAUGAAACUUCUUGUCCGAGUGCGAGAACCUGGAGAUACUUAGGCGAGUUACAGGCGGUAAUGGAUCCCAACCAUAUUGUAGUUGUGGAGAAUGGUGCUUGCUUGGGCUGUUUAGACUUCUGCUGCUGCUGUGAUGCUUAUUGCCAGACUUCCAUUAACAUAUACGCAGGCCAUUUGCUUGCCAGUUUUGAAGAAUUAAUGCAUAUUUGUGGUUUCUUCUAUAUUGUUCUAAUAGUUCAUUUAGGUCAGAAUAGUUGGCGGCGAACUGUAUCAGAAAUCAGAGUUUAGAUUAUGUGAUCUAUUAUGGUGCUACGUUUUAGAGCUCGUCUGAUUUACUACAAUAUUGUUCUUAUCUGGAUAAGAAAGUAACCUUGUGUCUCUUUUUAGUUCAUCAAAUCAUCAAUAAGUUAAUGUGUUAA